rnacentral:lncRNA from 1 species
UCUAAAUCAAUGGUCAUACACCAAUUUCUUGAUCACACGAUCAUCAUCUGUUACCUUCGCUAACACUUGACCGUCUCACCACUACCACCAGCUGCAUUGCCGUCAAAAUCGCCGCUGCCAAAACCACCACCACCAUCUCCAACAGCCCUGUCAUCUCAAGCACCGCAACUAGCACCACUUCACCACAAACAAAACAGAUACAAAACCGCCAACACGCUCCUGCGUCAUUCCAAUCUUUGUCUUGUCCGUGGCGUCUUUAACUUCCUCGUUCCCUUUUUUGACAUUACCCAAUAUCAUUUCAAUUACCGCUUUUAUUUAUUUAUUUAUUUUC